UACGUAGGUGGCAAGCGUUGUCCGGAUUUAUUGGGCGUAAAGCGCGCGCAGGCGGUCUUUUAAGUCUGAUGUGAAAGCCCACGGCUCAACCGUGGAGGGUCAUUGGAAACUGGGAGACUUGAGUGCAGAAGAGGAGAGUGGAAUUCCACGUGUAGCGGUGAAAUGCGUAGAGAUGUGGAGGAACACCAGUGGCGAAGGCGACUCUCUGGUCUGUAACUGACGCUGAGGCGCGAAAGCGUGGGGAGCGAACAGGAUUAGAAACCCCCGUAGUCC
rnacentral:rRNA from 1 species